AUUGAACGCUGGCGGCAGGCCUAACACAUGCAAGUCGAGCGGAGCGGCGGACGGGUGAGUCAUGCCCAGGAAUCUGCCUGUUAGUGGGGGAUAACGUCCGGAAACGGGCGCUAAUACCGCAUACUCUCAGAUGAGCCUAGGUCGGAUUAGCUAGUUGGUGGGGUAAAGGCCUACCAAGGCGACGAUCCGUAGCUGGUCUGAGAGGAUGAUCAGUCACACUGAAAAUGAGACACGGUCCAGACGCAUACGGGAGGAAGCAGUGGGGAAUAUUGGACAAUGGGCGAAAGCCUGAUCCAGCCAUGCCGCGUGUGUGAAGAAGGUCUUCGGAUUGUAAAGCACUUUAAGUUGGGAGGCGUUACUAACAGAAUAAGCACCGGCUAACUUCGUGCCAGCAGCCGCGGUAAUUC
rnacentral:rRNA from 1 species